CAUUAGAUGACUGAAAGUAAGUAUUGGUCUCUUAAACCAAAUUAUAAUAAAUUAACGAUUAUUUCUAAUGA
rnacentral:tRNA from 1 species